rnacentral:rRNA from 1 species
GAUGAACGCUGGCGGCGUGCCUAAUACAUGCAAGUCGAACGCGCAGCGAAAGGUGCUUGCACCUUUCAAGCGAGUGGCGAACGGGUGAGUAACACGUGGAUAACCUGCCUCAAGGCUGGGGAUAACAUUUGGAAACAGAUGCUAAUACCGAAUAGAACUUAGUAUCGCAUGAUACAAAGUUAAAAGGCGCUACGUCGUCACCUAGAGAUGGAUCCGCGGUGCAUUAGUUAGUUGGUGGGGUAAAGGCUUACCAAGACGAUGAUGCAUAGCCGAGGUGAGAGACUGAGCGGCCACAUUGGGACUGAGACACGGCCCAAACUCCUACGGGAGGCUGCAGUAGGGAAUCUUCCACAAUGGGCGCAAGCCUGAUGGAGCAACGCCGCGUGUGUGAUGAAGGCUUUCGGGUCGUAAAGCACUGUUGUAUGGGAAGAAAUGCUAAAAUAGGGAAUGAUUUUAGUUUGACGGUACCAUACCAGAAAGGGACGGCUAAAUACGUGCCAGCCGCCGCUGUAA